rnacentral:lncRNA from 1 species
UUAUCCUAAGGAUACAAGGAUGUUUACAAGGAAUCCUGGGAAGACUGAACAAUUGUGCUGCAGAGACAGUGGAAACUGAGUAUCAUGUAAUGGUCUCAUUGUUCUUUGACAGCAACUUACCCGUUGGUUGUCUUGUGUGUCUAGCCUUACGGACAUUUGGUUACAAGGAAUGGGAAACAACUCAAGUCAAAUUAAACAAAAAUAGAAGGCAUCAAAUGCAGGCAUAGGUGAUAUUGCCAAACAUGAAGAAGAUGCUUCAAUUUUCAGGAAUUUAAUCAAAGGUGAAACCGUUAUCCCACUGAUCCUUGGACAAACGUGUUUUGAGUUUCAAGUGAGCAAACCUUCAAUAUGUCUGCCAUUUUGGGGAAGAAGUUGUAACUUGGAGUGAAGGUAGAGGGAUUUAUUAUGAGAGCUUUGCUAGCAGACAUCUCAUUCUUUAAAACAAAAUCAACGCACAAACAUAAUUGGUGAGAAAUACAACAUAGUGGUUAAGAUACAAGCUUUAGCAUCAGAGCUUGGUUUAAAAUUCAGUUAUUCAAAGAAAAAAAGCUACAAAACCAAUUCAAUAACAUCUGAAGCCUGAGAGGAAAAUGAAAGACAAGAGGCUGUGGCUGCAGCUGUGUCUGCUGACAACAGGAUAAAAAUGGUUGCAUUGAGAGUAAGCUGCAUUUUCACCAGGCAGAGCAAACUGGGAGCAAAGCUGUGUUUUUCUUGGAAAUCAAAAGAGGACUCCAAGAAAAGAAGCUUUUAAGAGGACUGGCUGGAGAGUCAAAGAAGAUCCAUUAGCUUCUGGACCACUGAAAACCUAAGGGCUGAUGGUAGGGGGGUAAGUGGCCGGCAGCAAGGAGACAUUUUCUGUAUCUAGGAUGGUAUAGAAAAGACCCCCACUGGACAGAUCUACAAAGAACAACUAAAGAGUCUCUUGGUAGAACAGGUCAGCUCUGGACAUCAUUCAAAUCCGGGGAGCCUCUUAUACUGGAUUGCAAUUGUGUUGGGCAUGUACAACUGUGUUCUUUUUCUCUAAUGGCUUCUUUCUUCUGGUCAGUCUCUGGAAGGGGUGAUAGAGUGAGAAAGAGUAGCCAGCAAGUGUAGAAAGAGAUGUGGAAGAGAGAACGGGGAAACAGUGAAAACAAUUGCAUUUCCCCCACGUUCCAAAUGUAGGUUAUCCAGGUUAAAUGUAGGCCCCACCUGACUAGGCAAAGAUUUUUUCCUUUGUUGUGAGUUUGAAAAGAACUAAACAUCAUACUGAAGUGGAAUUAUUGAAAUUGGAUAGACCCGGGUUCAAAUCUUGACUCAG